rnacentral:tmRNA from 1 species
GGGGUCGACUGGUUUUGACAGCAAGUGGAAUUGAAAAGUAAGCAUGUCGAGCAUUGUAUUAUUGGCUCGUUAAUAUCAAUGAUACAACUUUAUAAACGGCGAAAAUAAUUACGCUUUAGCUGCUUAAUCCGAAGUUUAGUACGAUUUGCCUAGUCUCGACAAGGUCGAGAAGCUAGAUUUACCUCAAAAGCCUUGGUUUAUGGCGUUUGAUAAAGGUAAACCGUAAAAAUAGACAUAGGAAUGGUAAAGCUUUAAAUCCAUUCUGACAUUAAUAAAGCUAAGCGUUGAGUUGCUGUUUUUGGCUGAGCUCAAUGUCGAAAAAUUAAUCAAAAACUAAACAUGUAGAAAGCUCUUUGAUUGCUUGUUUGGACCCGAGUUCGAAUCUCGGCGACUCCAC